rnacentral:rRNA from 1 species
AGUGAACGCUGGCGGUAGGCCUAACACAUGCAAGUCGAACGGCAGCACAGUAAGAGCUUGCUCUUACGGGUGGCGAGUGGCGGACGGGUGUGGAAUACAUCGGAAUCUACUUUUUCGUGGGGGAUAACGUAGGGAAACUUACGCUAAUACCGCAUACGACCUACGGGUGAAAGCAGGGGAUCUUCGGACCUUGCGCGAUUGAAUGAGCAGAUGUCGGAUUAGCUAGUUGGCGGGGUAAAGGCCCACCAAGGCGACGAUCCGUAGCUGGUCUGAGAGGAUGAUCAGCCACACUGGAACUGAGACACGGUCCAGACUCCUACGGGAGGCAGCAGUGGGGAAUAUUGGACAAUGGGCGCAAGCCUGAUCCAGCCAUACCGCGUGGGUGAAGAAGGCCUUCGGGUUGUAAGGCCCUUUUGUUGGGAAAGAAAAGCAGCAGGUUAAUACCCCGCUGUUCUGACGGUACCCAAAGAAUAAGCACCGGCUAACUUCGUG